rnacentral:rRNA from 1 species
AUCUAGAUAAAACAGGUACUAAUUAAAUUAACUAAACCUUUAUAAAAUGGCGGCAUUAUAUCUUUUUUAGAGGAACAUGUUUACUCAUCGACUCCACACGAUCAAUUUCACUUAUUUUAAAAUUUUAUAUACCACCAUUAAACAAAUUUAUAUAAAAAUAUUUUUUAAAUAAAAAUCUAAAAUAUUAGGUAAAGGUGUAAACAAUAAAUAAGUAAAAAUGUGUUACAUUAAAAUUAAUUUAAGGACAUUAAUUUAAAAAUAAUUAUAAAAGGGAUUUAAAAGUAAUAUAAACUUAAUAUCUAAAUAUGAAUAAAUUAAUAAAUGUGC